rnacentral:rRNA from 1 species
AGAACGAACGCUGGCGGCGCGUCUUAAGCAUGCAAGUCGAGCGGUAAGAUAGAAGCUUGCUUUAUCCUAGAGCGGCGGACUGGUGAGUAACGCGUGGGUGACGUACCUCUGUGACGGGGACAGCUCCUAGAAAUAGGAGAUAAUACCGGAUAAUCUCUUGUGUGUCAUAGGCAUAAGAGGAAAGGAUCUUUUGAUUCGCACAGAGAGCGGCCCGCGUACUAUUAGCUAGUUGGUGAGGUAACGGCCCACCAAGGCGACGAUAGUUACCCGGCCUAAGAGGGUGAUCGGGCACAUUGGGACUGAGAUACGGCCCAGACUCCUACGGGAGGCAGCAGCUAAGAAUAUUCCGCAAUGGGGGAAACCCUGACGGAGCGACGCCGCGUGGAUGAUGAAAGGCCGGAAGGUUGUAAAAUCCUUUUAUGACUGAGGAAUAAGGCUGGUGAGAGAAACGCCAGUUGGUGACUGUAGGUCAUGAAUAAGCAACGGCUAAUUACGUGCCAGCAGCGGC